UAUAUUAUUUUCUCUAGGCUUCAACGUAUUCAAAAAGAGUUGUAAUUUGUUCAUCAAUAGUUUUUUAACUGUCAUCUAUUGUAUUAGGUCGUAGAGUUUUAAGAGUUAGAUUAGUUUUAUAUUUACGAAACAAACUUAGAAUACUUUUGAAAGUAUUCGGUUAUUGUACCUCUAUUGUGAGAUUGGGAUUUGUCUUUUGUUAAAGGGAUUUGUAGACCGUUCUUCAAGGGAAAGAAUGUGGUGAGAGAAGAUAGAGAUCUUCUUGGUAAUCUAGGUUCCAUUAAUAAAAGAGGUUUGAAUCUUAAGGCCGUUGAUAAGGAACCCCAUAGGCGGGGAGUACGCUAUUGAUAAAUGAUAGCUGAAUUUCGAUAACAAAUCACUUGUUUUGUAUAUCUUUAAUUUACUCAUCUUAGUCUUAAUUUUCAUAGUCGGCCUAAGAACAGUUUACAGAAUACUGUUUUAAGUGCCUCACAAGUUCUUGAGCUAACAGUCAAUGCAAAAAUUUUAAUCUGUCAAACUCGCUAUUCACCCCCCUAGAGAGUUAUUGACCUUCCAUCAACCUUUAAUUGGUAUCAUAGCUGAGUUUCAUAUGUGAAGAUUAAUUAUCUCGUGAUGGACCCGACGGGAAAAGAACCAAAGGAUGUCAAACAAGCUAUAAAGGAACCGCAGUGGAUCAUUGCAAUGCAAAGUGAAUUAUACGUGUUUGAAAGAAAUAAAGUAUGGGAUCUAGUUGAAAGACCAAAGGAUCGCACUAUCAUUGGAACUAGAUGGGUCUUUCGAAAAGAUCAUAAAGAACAAAGAAAGGGAUAAAAAAGGGAGGAAAAGAAAGGAAUUACACCCAUAGAGAAAGAGAUUUAGACAAAAAGACCUGUAUGUAAACGGUCUCUUUAGCGCGCUCUUCUUCGCUGAGAACACGGCCUCCUCUUCCAUCAGAUGAAUAGCAAGC